CCUACGGGGGGCUGCAGUAAGGAAUAUUGGUCAAUGGGCGCAAGCCUGAACCAGCCAUGCCGCGUGAAGGAUGACGGCCCUAUGGGUUGUAAACUUCUUUUGUACGGGAAAAAACCACCGGUCGUGAAUCGGUGCUGAUGGUACCGUAAGAAUAAGCAUCGGCUAACUCCGUGCCAGCCGCCGCGGUAAUACGGAGGAUGCAAGCGUUAUGCGGUUUAAUUGGGUUUAGAGGGUGCACUAAGGCAACGGUGAAAUCUUACAGCUUAACUGUAGAACUGCCAUUGAUACUGUUAUUCUUGAGUGUUGUUGAGGUAGGCGGAAUGUGUCAUGUAGCGGUGAAAUGCUUAGAUAUGACACAGAACACCGAUCGCGAAGGCAGCUUACCAAGCAACAACUGACGCUCAUGCACGAAAGCGUGGGGAUCAAACAGGAUUAGAUACCCCUGUAGUC
rnacentral:rRNA from 1 species